rnacentral:tRNA from 1 species
GGCCGGAUAGCUCAGUCGGUGAAAGCAUAGUGCUAAUAACGCGAAGGUCGAGGAUCUGAUCUCCCCUCUGGCCA